ACUCAGCUGAAGAUAGCUCAGUUGGUAGAACAUGAGAUUCUUAUUAAUCUCAGGGUCGUGGAUUUGAGCUCCACGCUGGGCG